rnacentral:piRNA from 1 species
UGGAACAAAGGAGUCUCUUUCCCAUCC